UAUUAAAACCGCAAUCCUAUUUUAAGUGGCUAUCUCAGGAAAAAUGUUUCAUUUCCUUUUAAAAUAACCUAACACUUUGUAAUAUUGAAUCCGUGGGAGUCGAAAUCCGAGCCCCCCCACUAGGGCGACUCGGGUGGCGGGGCGUCUCUCCUGCGCAGCGGUCGCCCCCUCCCCUUUCCAUCCCUCGCCACCUCCCGUAAGCCUCCACAGGGAUCCGGCGGCGGCGAGGCCUCUAGCGCGCUAGAGCGAUGAGGCUGCGAGCGGGGGCUCGGGCGGCGACGGCGGCGGCGCGAUGCUCUUCACGUGCGUCUUUCAUGCUCUUGGACGUGGGGGGCAGCGGUUCUUGGCGCGUCUCGUGCUCUGGCCGUAUGUUGGGGAACGAGGCGAGCUGAAGGUCGAGUGUGGCCGCGGCGGCAGCGAUCUCCGGCCAUACCCGUUCGAGGAGGUGUGGCAAGGGUCGGAUCCAUAUCCGGGGGACAACGUGAAGGCGAUCUAGGAGGCGCGACAGGGGAUAGAUCCAUAUCCGGGGACAACAUGGAGACGAUCUAGGAGGCGUGAGAGGAGGUCCAGUUACGAGGCUUGAACUCCAAGUUCCGAGCAAGAUGACAAGCUCUGGCGGAGUCUCCCCAUGGACACAAAGUCUCCUACAUGAGCUCUCGAGAGUGCACCAAGAAAGAGAGAUGAGAGAGAGAGAUGGAAGGAAUAAGGAAAUGAAGGAGACUUCGGGAAGGGGCGACGGGAUCGUGCGAGGCUAGGUUGGAGCCCAAUGGUAGCUUGCUCCUGUGGUGCUACUUGUGUUGUUGGACGGCGACCAUGGGACAAGUACAUAGGUAAGAGGAAAAACAUAUGCUCCAUCGAAACGUUUGAUGCACAACAUCCAUCACCUAGUUAUUGAGGGCACGCAUCGGAUGUGCAUAUCAGCACCAAUGCCGAGCAAUUCGGUGGCGAACGCCAUGUGGAGGCGCACGUGAUGAUGGUAAUAUGAGCUUUCUCAUUUGUUUUGCCUUCAACAUCCUGCCCGGAAGGUUGUGGGGGCUCUACUUUUAUUGUGGAUGCAUUACA